UUUUUAUCCCAGCAGUGGAUCGAGUACUUCCAAACACAGUUAAAGAGUAAGGUAUGUAUAUAUUUGCCAGUUUAAUUCCGUAUUCCACAUUGUAUGAUCUCAAGUUUCGAACAUUCUUAUAUGAUUUACUAUUCUAUGUUGUAGUGUUGGCACGAAGAAUCAUUAUAGGAAUAUAAUGAAUAUCGUGUCUUACUAUCAAGAUGAAUAACAAUCAAUUCAGAUAGUGUUUGAUUAUGUUUCUCCUAAAGCUACCUGCUCAACAUCUGAACGACUCUAACUACUGAGUACAAGUCCAGCUAUAAGGAUCAAAAACACCGUAUGGAAUUCCGAAAGGUCUUUUCCUAUACCGCGAGACCCUGUUUGGAACAUGAUAAUUUUGUGAAUCAACAACUACAUUGUUUCCUAUGAAUUUCAGCAACUACAUUGUUUCCAGUGAAAUUCAGCAACGACUACAUUUUUUCCUAUCAUCCAGGCAUACAGAGGCUUUGAUUUUUUCAAGUAUAGUUCAGAUUUUCAGGGAGCACUUCAACCCAGACAUAAACAAAGCAAAGAACUUGAUUACAAGGUACAAUCGUAACUACCAAUGCCGAGCUAUUUUUGAAUUUGACUAACACAAAGGGUGCAAUAUGUAGGUUUAGGGUGCUCCUAUGCUUGGAUAAGGCAAGAUGAUAUCCCCGCCCCCUGUUAAUUUGUAUUUCUGUUGCUGCAUGAUGAUAUUAUCUAAGUGAUGAAAAGUGAUUUCUGUAUGUGAAUGAGGGAAGGGAGGUUUCGCAUCACAAAGCAAAAAAAAUUACCCUAUCACGA
rnacentral:lncRNA from 1 species